rnacentral:rRNA from 1 species
GGGUUGUGAGGUUAAGCGACUAAGCGUACACGGUGGAUGCCCUGGCAGUCAGAGGCGAUGAAGGGCGUGCUAAUCUGCGAUAAGCGCCGGUAAGGUGAUAUGAACCGUUAUAACCGGCGAUACCCGAAUGGGGAAACCCAGUGUGAUUCGUCACACUAUCAUUAACUGAAUCCAUAGGUUAAUGAGGCGAACCGGGGGAACUGAAACAUCUAAGUACCCCGAGGAAAAGAAAUCAACCGAGAUUCCCCCAGUAGCGGCGAGCGAACGGGGAGGAGCCCAGAGCCUGAAUCAGCAUGUGUGUUAGUGGAAGCGUCUGGAAAGGCGCGCGAUACAGGGUGACAGCCCCGUACACAAAAGCGCAUGUGCUGUGAGCUCGAUGAGUAGGGCGGGACACGUGGUAUCCUGUCUGAAUAUGGGGGGACCAUCCUCCAAGGCUAAAUACUCCUGACUGACCGAUAGUGAACCAGUACCGUGAGGGAAAGGCGAAAAGAACCCCGGCGAGGGGAGUGAAAAAGAACCUGAAACCGUGUACGUACAAGCAGUGGGAGCACCCUUUGGGUGUGACUGCGUACCUUUUGUAUAAUGGGUCAGCGACUUAUAUUCUGUAGCAAGGUUAACCGAAUAGGGGAGCCGGAGGGAAACCGAGUCUUAACCGGGCGUUAAGUUGCAGGGUAUAGACCCGAAACCCGGUGAUCUAGCCAUGGGCAGGUUGAAGGUUGGGUAACACUAACUGGAGGACCGAACCGACUAAUGUUGAAAAAUUAGCGGAUGACCUGUGGCUGGGGGUGAAAGGCCAAUCAAACCGGGAGAUAGCUGGUUCUCCCCGAAAGCUAUUUAGGUAGCGCCUCGUGAAUUCAUCUCCGGGGGUAGAGCACUGUUUCGGCUAGGGGGCCAUCCCGGCUUACCAACCCGAUGCAAACUGCGAAUACCGGAGAAUGUUAUCACGGGAGACACACGGCGGGUGCUAACGUCCGUCGUGAAGAGGGAAACAACCCAGACCGCCAGCUAAGGUCCCAAAGUCAUGGUUAAGUGGGAAACGAUGUGGGAAGGCCCAGACAGCCAGGAUGUUGGCUUAGAAGCAGCCAUCAUUUAAAGAAAGCGUAAUAGCUCACUGGUCGAGUCGGCCUGCGCGGAAGAUGUAACGGGGCUAAACCAUGCA